rnacentral:rRNA from 1 species
CCAGACCUAGAACCUAUCAAGGCCAAGGAUAUGGAGGAAGCUAUGGCGUCUCUAACAAAGGCGACCAGAGGUUUCUUGGUUAAACGACAUAGAGAAUUUCCAAUCUCAUGUUUGCACCUUAAGCUCUACUUUAUCAACACUUUCUUGUGCGAAGUCGGCCUACUCGUAGGCGACGCAAUCGACAUCGGUCUAUUGAAAGACUUAGAUCUCGCCAUUCUUGAUGAGACAUAUAAUUCGGAAUGCAGUAAAGAGUAUAUGUUGCAGCGAGCACAGGAAAUAUAUGUUCUUUUCACUGCCUACCCUAGUGUGCUCUGCUGCCUCACAAAGCUCUCUCUACAAAAUGUAGCCUUUGACAAAUUGGACAUGCACCAUAUCAUGUUUGAUUGCUGCAAGCAACUGAAGCACCUAAGCCUCACUCAGUGUGAUAUUGGUGAUACAUCUCCCUUUAAGAUUGAUGCACCAAACUCAAAACUAUGUGUUCUAGAGCUCACCGAGUGUGGCUUUGUGAAACUUGAGGUAGCAUGCCUUCCGAAAUUGGAGAAGUGCAAUUUAGAUACUUGGUUUUUUAACUACUAUAUGCCAUUGGCCUUUGGUUUUGCCCCGUCUCUUGGAGAAUUAGAACUCGCAUAUGGUGCAAUAUGCUCUAAAGAUCAAUUUAAAUUAAGUGAGCUUAUACAUGGAACCACAGGCGUACAUACUCUCACACUGGAUUUCGAAGGAGAAAAUCUUUGGAUGCAACCUGAAAUGAAGCAACUAUGCACAGCUUUCAACAAGCUAAGGAAGUUGUUUGUGCGUGGUAUUUUUGUUGAAUUUGACAUUUUAUGGACGAUGGCCUUUCUUGCAGCGGCACCAUCUAUUGAGAUAUUACAUAUUGAGAUAUGGGAACAUGUAUGCGAUAUGGAUGAAGUGAGUGAGGAUUGCAGACGACGGAACAACUUUGAAAGAAGGACUCCUCAGUGGGAGAUGGACUUCGACCACACCAAGAAUUGGAUUUUGAAAGAGCUAGUAUUCGUUGGCUUUAGGUCACUAGAACAACAAUUUACACUCAUAAGAUCGGUGCUCCAGCGAUCUCCCAACUUGUGUAAGAUAGUUCUAAAAGGAGACGAGGAAUGUAACUUAUGCGCUGCUCAUGGUGCGCCGCCUUCAAAAUUUCCCAAGAAGGAUGAACAAGAAAUGGUCAUGAGGCGAAUUAGAGAUGGCAUAUUCUCGCCCCAAAUAAUUUUU